UUAAUUACCUGGCAGGGGAAAUAUUAUGAUCACAACAGUGGUUUUCCCAGGAUGAGGCUUAGCCAUUGUACACUGGAUGUGCUGACCCCUGUGAUUUCCCCAAAUGUGGGAAACUGCAAAAUUUGUGGUAGUGGUGGACUGUGUCUGCACUCUCCCCUG